CGUGUUCACAGCGGACCUUGAUUUAAUGUCUACACAAUUAAGGCACGCGGUGAAUGCCA
rnacentral:pre_miRNA from 1 species